rnacentral:rRNA from 1 species
GACGAACGCGGCGGCGUGCCUAAUACAUGCAAGUAGAACGCUGAAGGAGGAGCUUGCUUCUCUGGAUGAGUUGCGAACGGGUGAGUAACGCGUAGGUAACCUGCCUGGUAGCGGGGGAUAACUAUUGGAAACGAUAGCUAAUACCGCAUAAGAGUAGAUGUUGCAUGACAUUUGCUUAAAAGGUGCAAUUGCAUCACUACCAGAUGGACCUGCGUUGUAUUAGCUAGUUGGUGGGGUAACGGCUCACCAAGGCGACGAUACAUAGCCGACCUGAGAGGGUGAUCGGCCACACUGGGACUGAGACACGGCCCAGACUCCUACGGGAGGCAGCAGUAGGGAAUCUUCGGCAAUGGACGGAAGUCUGACCGAGCAACGCCGCGUGAGUGAAGAAGGUUUUCGGAUCGUAAAGCUCUGUUGUAAGAGAAGAACGAGUGUGAGAAGUGGAAAGUUCCACACUGUGACGGUAUCUACC